GUAGUCGUGGCCGAGUCGUUAAGGCGGCAGACUCGAAAUCUGUUGGGAUAUUCCCGCGCAGGUUCAAAUCCUGCCGACUACG
rnacentral:tRNA from 1 species